GAUGAACGCUGGCGGCGUGCUUAACACAUGCAAGUCGAACGGAAAGGCCCAAGCUUUCUUGGGUUCUCGAGUGGCGAACGGGUGAGUAACACGUGGGUGAUCUGCCCUGCACUUCGGGAUAAGCCUUGGAAACUGGGUCUAAUACCGGAUAGGACCACUUCUUGGAUGUUGUGGUGGAAAGUUUUUUCGGUGUGGGAUGAGCUCGCGGCCUAUCAGCUUGUUGGUGGGGUAAUGGCCUACCAAGGCGUCGACGGGUAGCCGGCCUGAGGGGGUGUACGGCCACAUUGGGACUGAGGUACGGCCCAGACUCGGACGGGAGGAAGAAGUGGGGAAGAUUGAACAAUGGGCGCAAGCCUGAUGAAGCGACGCCGCGUGGGGGAUGACGGCCUUCGGGUUGUAAACGCCAUUCGCUAGGGACGAAGCGUUUUGUGACGGUACCUGGAGAAGAAGCACCGGCUAACUACGUG
rnacentral:rRNA from 1 species